AUUGAACGCUAGCGGGAUGCUUUACACAUGCAAGUCGAACGGCAGCGCGGACUUCGGUCUGGCGGCGAGUGGCGAACGGGUGAGUAAUGUAUCGGAACGUGCCCAGUAGCGGGGGAUAACUACGCGAAAGCGUAGCUAAUACCGCAUACGCCCUACGGGGGAAAGCAGGGGAUCGUAAGACCUUGCACUAUUGGAGCGGCCGAUAUCGGAUUAGCUAGUUGGUGAGGUAACGGCUCACCAAGGCGACGAUCCGUAGCUGGUUUGAGAGGACGACCAGCCACACUGGGACUGAGACACGGCCCAGACUCCUACGGGAGGCAGCAGUGGGGAAUUUUGGACAAUGGGGGCAACCCUGAUCCAGCCAUCCCGCGUGUGCGAUGAAGGCCUUCGGGUUGUAAAGCACUUUAGGCAGGAAAGAAACGUCGCAGGCUAAUACCCCGUGGAACUGACGGUACCUGCAGAAUAAGCACCGGCUAACUACGUG
rnacentral:rRNA from 1 species